UUAGUAUAGUGUCAGACCGAGACA
rnacentral:siRNA from 1 species